rnacentral:lncRNA from 1 species
GGGUAGAGGCCGACGCGCGCCCAUUGGCCGACUCGGCUGCGGGCGUCCCCGUGGCCACGUGACAAUAACACCGCUCCAGCCGGGGGCCUACGCGCGGGAGAAAGUGGAGCUGAGAUUGUAGGAAAUUCAGAGUUAUAUUUUCCAGCCUCUCCAGCCAGAAGUCUCCACUACGUCGUGGGAAACAUAUAUCAAAUGGAGUUGAAAGGCAAAAGGAAGUGAUCAGCGCCACAAGAUGUUGAAACUAAUGGAGACCGCAGAGAUCAUGUGCUAAGGGGCCUUCCUCCUCUGGGGUGGGAGAAGGAAUGUUCUCUGGAGAAAUCUGUAUGAUAGAAUAGUGAAGGUAACUGGCCUGAACUACAGCUCUUGAGCCAUCUGGUUUCACCUUCAGGGAGGUCCCACUGAAGCUGAAUGACUGUGCAGGUUGAUACACUGGACAUUUUCGGUGAAACCUGUGUGAACAGACAACUGGAGGGUCAGAUGAUUUAUCCUCUCCCCAGUACCUUGGCACAAGCCUAGGCUACAGAAUGAGAUGCACGUAAGAAGUCUGUGACCUGGACCAGAGCAGCCCAGCUGAACACAUGCUGGAUUGGAAGAACCACCUUUGACCUGAAGACCUGUGAGUGAGAAUAAAUGCUGUUUGAGAAAGGAGUUUGGAGACAGAAAGACGGAAGAGUUGAUAUUCCGCUCACAGAUGUCAAUUUUCAAAGAAAUUUCUGCCCAUUAUGGAUGCACCACAAAUACUAAAGUCUAUGCAAUAUAUAUUUUGAAAAGAAUUUUUUUCGUGAAACUGUAAUUUUCGUUCAUAAGAGUAUAUUUCCUGACUUAGCAUUUUAUUGACUAGAUUAAAAUUUUGUUCCCCAAAGUAAGUGUGUGUGUGUGUGUGUGUGUGUGUGUGCACGCACACGUGUGUGUGCAUUCCUGAGGAUUAUUCUAAGGCUGAACUCCUUCAUAGAAAUGGAAUUUUUCUCUCUAUGCUCACAUUUUAAAACAGCUCACACAAGCCAGGCAGAAACUGCCAACCCCUUGGUUUCUAAUUCUUUGUGCUAGUUCUAUUAGAAGGGGCAAGUGUAAUCUGACAAUGGGAAACAAUACACCCUUUCUCAUAUUCUUUAUCAACAUACAUAAACUGGAAGAAAGAAAAAGAAAGAGAGGGGUACAGAGGGAGGAAAGGAGGAAGAAAAAAGAUAGGAGGGGAAGUAGGAAGAGAGGAGAAGGGGACUGUAGUGGGGGAAAGAGAGGAGAGACAGAAUCUUUCCACUAAAGUUAGCAUCUGAGAGAGAGGCCCACGGAAUUGAUUUUUUUUUUUUUAUCCCUUUGGCAAACCAGCAUUUGGUCUUUGCUUUGGUUAUCCUGAGAUAGUGCUUUGUUUACCUGAGCUAGCUGGCCAUCUCAGCUGUGACAAUUUAAAAUUAGGCCACUAUUUAUAAUUCAAGCUAUGUGUAAACAAAACAAAACACAAUACAACCAAUGAAGGAGGUUUGUUUGUUUGUUUUUUUAAAAGGUAGGGGCAUUUUGUAAAUCAGACAGAGAUAGCUUUCUUGAAUAAAAUGACAUUUUUAGUUAUUUCUUUGUCUUGAACUUUCUCCUGAGACACCUUCUGGCUCACUAGUCACGAGGAACUGAAGAGGAACUGAAGGAAUUCUAAACAUCCCCAAAGCCUCUAGUGAUUCUCCAGAUGUGUCUUUUCAAGAGGCUGGCGACUUGUAGGGAGGGUGGAUAUACCUUAAUUAUUCAGUCACUUUUAACGUUUUACCUAAACUAUUUGUCAAAUAAGUAGUUUUUGCAUUGCUUUAACUGUAUACAGCCAUCAUUUGAUUAUACAUUCUAUCAAAGAUUGAUUGCCUGAUUUCAGGUUUAAUUUUAAGAUUUAAAUGACUGACUCCUUAGCUUGCUCAGUUGUAUUCUUUGUCUCUGAUUACUUACUCCAUAGAACACUGCUUACCUUUAAAUAAAAUGUAUUAAACUCCUUUGUUUUCAGAAUCUCUAAUAUUCAUGCCUAUUGGGGAUUCAUACCCUAAUAACUUGGGCUACUAGUCUGUCAUAAAAUAUAAACUCCAGCCAUAUUAAAUAUGGUAGACUUGCCCUAAAAGUCAGAUUUAUACCUUCAAUAUACCAUGGAAUUUGUAAUACAAAUAAAUUCCUUUUUUUAUAUUGGUUUUAAAAUAAGAAAUUGUAGUCUCUUGAGUUCUAGAGUUUCUGUAAGAACAACAGAAGGAAUGCUCAGCUAAUGUUUAGUACCCAUAUGCUUCAUUAAAGUGACCAGAUGUCCUGCAUUUGUCAAGGGAAAAGGGGAAUUGUUUUCUUCUCUCUCAAAUAUCUCCUUCAAAAAGUCUAUCAUGGAUACAUUUUGUGCCUUCACUGCCCUUUUUAAAUAAUUAUUAUUCAUGCCUUACUAUAAGAACAUUACAACUGGUAACAAACUGCUUUUAAACUUGGGGUUUCAGAUUUUCUAAAG